rnacentral:sRNA from 1 species
GGAAGGAGCCAAGAGACUCUUGUGGACAGAGCCCGGUCGGGAGUUGGGCGUUUUCUCUUCGUGUGUUUUGGUGGUUUCCCCCCUGGUCUUUGACGAUCGCCCUUCGGGAGCCCUGCUAAGGAACCAAACCAUGAACUUGGGGCUGACCGGACCGCUUAACCCUUUGCGACCAGGCAUCAGAUGCCAGCUCUGAAAAACUCUUCAACACUGUUAUUGUAAACAAAGGUAAGACCCAUUCAUUCUCCUGAGUAAUGGCUUAUUUUUAUGUUAGUUUCAUUGUCAUUGCCUAGGAAGAGAGAAGAGCUAGAGUGAUCUUUCCCUUAUAAUUCUGAAGCUGCUGUUGAUGUUUCAUGUUUUUGCUUGAGAUGGAAGUCUGCAUACUUUGUGAUGCAUUAACAACCAGUUUAUUUUAAAAGAAUACAUUGAGUCCCUAUUUAAAUUGAUUUGACUAAUCACUACUACUAUGUGACUUUAAUAUAGAAAGCUGUACUAGAGAAGAAUAGUUCUCAAAAUGCCUGAACUUUAUUGUUGCUUAUCAACUACCCAGCAGUAGGAGAAAUAUAAAUAGCUGAUGUGCGUUGCAGACUCCAGUAAUCAAUGGAUGUUCAGAAUUCACAGUAUUAUGGUCAUAAACCAAGCCUUACUCUGCUGUGGGCUUUCUGUAAAGUUAAUAAACGGGCGAGAGGGCGGAAUUUAAAUAUGCACUAUCCCAUUAAUUUCUUCCAAACCACGAUCUAGAGUAAGAGAGGCUAAUGAUAUAGCAGUACAUUAAGGGAAAACUAACCUUAAAUCAUUGCCAGUAGGUUUCUGCGCAGUUUUCAUUUGUUAGCAGUAUUGUUGGAAAUAAGGAAAUUUAGGGGAGUCUCUAAUCACUGGCUCUGAAAGUGUGUAAUUUGAAAGGGACAAACCAUAUAAACUAUUUAAUCUUCCCCUUUCCACUGUCGAGCCUGAUUUAGGGGCUGGCAUGAUAAUUGCUAAGUAAAGAUGUGCUUUCUGUGAUAAUCUCUUUCUGGGUUACAUGGACGACACUUGGUAGCACUUGAACAGACUUGGGCCUUCACAAAGUGAAAUUUGAGACCAUUUCAGCC